rnacentral:rRNA from 1 species
UACGGAGGGAGCUAGCGUUGUUUCGGAAUUUACUGGGCGUAAAGCGCACGUAGGCGGCUAUUCAAGUCAGAGGUGAAAGCCCGGGGCUCAACCCCGGAACUGCCUUUGAAACUAGAUAAGCUAGAAUCUUGGAGAGGUCAGUGGAAUUCCGAGUGUAGAGGCGAAAAUUCGUAGAUAUUUCGGAAGGAAACACCCAGUGGCGAAGGCGACUGACUGGACAAGUAUUGACGCUGAGGUGCGAAAAGCGUGGGGGGAGCAAAACAGG